UACAGAGGGUGCAAGCGUUAAUCGGAAUUACUGGGCGUAAAGCGUGCGUAGACGGUUAUGUAAGUCGGGUGUGAAAGCCCCGGGCUCAACCUGGGAAUGCCAUUCGAGACUGCAUAGCUAGGGUGCGGAAGAGGGAAGCGGAAUUUCCGGUGUAGCGGUGAAAUGCGUAGAUAUCGGAAGGAACACCAGUGGCGAAAGCGGCUUCCUGGUCCAGCACCGACGUUCAGGCACGAAAGCGUGGGAGCAACAGGAUAGAA
rnacentral:rRNA from 1 species